AGAGUUUGAUCCUGGCUCAGAACGAACGUUAGCGGCGCGCCUAAUACAUGCAAGUCGAGCGAGAAAGGGCUUCGGCCCCAGUAAAGCGGCGCACGGGUGAGUAACACGUAGGUUAUCUCCCCUCGAGUGGUGGAUAACCCUCCGAAAGGAGGGCUAAUACAGCAUGAGACCACGACCUUUUAGGUUGCGGUCAAAGCAGGCCUCUUCAUGAAAGCUUGCGCUCAAGGAUGAGCCUGCGGCCCAUCAGCUAGUUGGUAAGGUAACGGCUUACCAAGGCUAAGACGGGUAGCUGGUCUGAGAGGAUGAGCAGCCACACUGGAACUGAAACACGGUCCAGACUCCUACGGGAGGCAGCAGUAGGGAAUCUUGCGCAAUGGACGAAAGUCUGACGCAGCGACGCCGCGUGAGCGAUGAAGGCCUUCGGGUUGUAAAGCUCUGUGGGGAGAGACGAAUAAGGUAUGGCCAAUAUCCAUAUCGAUGACGGUAUCUCCUUAGCAAGCACCGGCUAACUCUGUGCCAGCAGCCGCGGUAAGACAGAGGGUGCGAACGUUGUUCGGAAUUACUGGGCGUAAAGCGCAUG
rnacentral:rRNA from 1 species